AUGCAUGUUUCUCAUGCAAAAGUAAAGAGAAAGGAGUGAUAAACUUUAGAGUGAGCUGUCUGAUCUUCCUUCCUCCAACAGAGGAGAGAUGGCAGGAUAAUUAUCCUGCUGUCCUCACCCAGCACACUCCAGUAGAGCUGAGUGUCCAAUUUACCUGUCUGAGAUGAUGAGCAGAACCUGAAGGAACUGACACUGUAAAUCUUGAGGAUCUGUAAUUGCUAAUAAAAAGGGAACAGAUUGUUCAGUGCCGUGGCUGUGGACUUUUUGUGUGACCUUUCAAGUGUAGCAGUCACUGGGUGCCAGCACCCCUCUUUACCUGCUGCUGGAGCCACCUGGAAGGCACAAGGCUCACUGGGGUGAUUCUCAGCAGGUCAGAAAAUCUCCUGCAAAGCCCUGGUUUAUGCUGGCUGGGACACUCACUGUGGGUGAGGUAGUUGGUUCAUUGAGAAGGUACAAAAUAAGGAUGGAGUGGCUCCAAUUCUGCCCCUGAGAAUCUCUCUGCCCAGUAAAGGAGCUUAACCUGUUGUACCUAAAAAAAGAAAAGAGCAGGAAACAAGAAAAUAUCUAUUUCCUGGAUUAACUGGUAGAAAAUACUCCUCAAAGAAAGGUAGAAGUUCUGGGCAAUUUCUCUUGUCAGUAUGGUUUUAUUCCACAGGUUUUGAGGACAUCAGGUUACUCAUCUUUUAGGGUCUUUGGGCUUUUUUCCCCUCAAAUAAAAAUUAAUAACUGAUCUUGUGGAUCACUGUGAUCUUCAGCCUUGUCCCACGAAUUAUUGCUCAGAGUGUGAAUUCCUGGAUUUAUUUGGGCAAAUGCCCUGCUUGGCACUGUGGUCACUACUGGGUGCCUCUGGGGUGAGAUACCUGCAGUGAUGUGGAUGUCCCCCUUGGGUGUGGCAGUAAAGGUUUCCUCAAUAAAUGCAUCU